CUCCUUCUUCUUGCAUAAAUUCUUAGAUCUUGAUGUUAUUGUGUGCCUCUUUGCUCCCAAAAUCGUCUACCCUAGUUUUGGACGUGUUUUAGGGUAUAUGUAGCGUGUCCAAAUUAGGUAAAAAAAAGAGUUGGAGUCGAAAAAAGAAACUGCAGAAACGCCCCAUUAUUUACUUCUAUGCGACCGCAUAGAAAGAUCCUAUGCGGUCGCAUAGGUCAUUUGAAAUGCCGCAUUAUUUUCCCUACAUCCAUCUAUGCGACUGUAUAGAUGGUUACACUAUGCGGUCGCAUAGAUAUAACCAAUUAUGUGGUUUUUACAUUUUGGUCCCUGAACUUCCUUGUUGCUUCUCUUGACUUCUUUCUUUGAUUUCUUCAUCUUUUCAAAAAAUUUUAUCUUCCAAUUGAUGAUUGACACCAUCAAAUCUCAGGCCACUCAUUCGGCACAUCUUUUGAGUAUUUGCGCUUUAGUCCUCCAACUUUUAAUUGUCUUCAUUUCAGUCCCUCUUCAAUACUUUCUUCUUCCAAUUGUUUUGCUUUGUCAUUGAGCUCAUACUUGGCAUGUUUUUACUCUCGUUUUGCAUUUAGCUCAACUUCUCAAUAUUUACACAUUUGGUCCUCGAACUAUCACUUUGUUGCGUUUUGGUCCUUCUUCGGCUCUUUU
rnacentral:lncRNA from 1 species